rnacentral:snoRNA from 1 species
GACCUCCUAGGAUUUCAUCUGGAGAAUAGCCAGUAUUUGCUAAUUUCUAUUCUGCUAGGAUGAGGGGGAAAACAAUCCUAUCACAGAUCCAUUCUAUUUCCAGUUUACUCAAUAAUUCGUGAUUGAAAGAUGCUCUGUGACAGUG